rnacentral:rRNA from 1 species
GACGCACGCUGGCGGCGUGCCUCAUACAUGCAAGUAGGACGCAGUUGCGAACGGGUGAGUAACGCGUAGGUAACUACCUAUUAGAGGGGGAUAACUAUCGGAAACGAUAGCUACUACUGCAUACUAGUAGAUGGACCUGCGUUGUAUUUGCUAGUAGGUUGGGUAAUGGCCUACCUAGGCAACGAUACAUAGCCGACCUGAGAGGGUGAUCGGCAAGACUGGGACUGAGACACGGCCCGGACUCUUGCGGGAGGCAGCAGUAGGGAUUCUUCGGCAAUGGGGGGAACCCUGACCGAGCAACGCGUCGGGAGUGAUGAAGGUGUUCGGAUCGUAAAGCUCUGUUGUUAAGGAAGCGGUACUUAACCAGAAAGGGACGGAUAACUACGUGCCAGCAGCCGCGGUAAUAC